CAAAGCGUAGCUUAAUUAAAGCAUUUGGCUUACACCCAAAAGAUUUCACCCAUCCGUGACCGCUUUGA
rnacentral:tRNA from 1 species